AAAAAAUUAAGAAAAAAUAAAAGAGAUGGAAUGUGAUUAAGUUAAGCGAGUCGAAACUCUAGCGAUGGGUGACUACACCGGGAAGUUACGGCGGGGAUCGUUGACUAGCCCUGGACUGCGAGAAACUUGGGAAAAUAUUUUCGGGACCUAAUUAAAGGUUUACUAAGGUGUAAUUGACAUUGAAAAUGUCAAAGAAAAAGUAGUAAGUCAGUAUAAACGAAAAACGAAAAUUAAAGAAAUCGGCGGGUCAAGGAGUUAAUCGGUAGUACCGAAAAAUUAAAAAUGCAAUCCAAAGAGGGGCAUUUUGGUCAUUUGAUACCUAGAGUCGACUUUUGACCUA
rnacentral:misc_RNA from 1 species